rnacentral:rRNA from 1 species
GAUGAACGCUGGCGGCGUGCCUAAUACAUGCAAGUCGAGCGAACAGACGAGGAGCUUGCUCCUUUGACGUUAGCGGCGGACGGGUGAGUAACACGUAGGUAACCUACCUAUAAGACUGGGAUAACUUCGGGAAACCGGAGCUAAUACCGGAUAAUAUUUCGAACCGCAUGGUUCGAUAGUGAAAGAUGGCUUUGCGAUCACUUAUAGAGGGACCUGCGCCGUAUUAGCUAGUUGGUCAGGUAACGGCUUACCAAGGCAACGAUACGUAGCCGACCUGAGAGGGUGAUCGGCCACCCUGGAACUGAGACACGGUCCAGACUCCUACGGGAGGCAGCAGUAGGGAAUCUUCCGCAAUGGGCGAAAGCCUGACGGAGCAACGCCGCGUGAGUGAUGAAGGUCUUCGGAUCGUAAAACUCUGUUAUUAGGGAAGAACAAACGUGUAAGUAACUGUGCACGUCUUGACGGUACCUAAUCAGAAAGCCACGGCUAACUACGUG